GAGAGAGCCGAUACUGCGUAGAGAACCAUUGGAGAAUGUCCUCCGGCCUGAAAACAUGUACCCAUUGACUUCUGGGUUGUUCUAGGAACCUUUAUUAAGUUUAAUUUCAAUUAAAAUGUUUGGGGGGCCAUCUCCUGGGAAUAUUAAUCAAUAUUAGUCGAACAGUCCCAGGGUGGGUCUUACAUACACCCUAUUGAUCUGGAAUAAAGGUAAUUUUCUUUUGCCUGACAUCUUGGCUCCUGGCAAGCUCCCCAUUGGCCCAUGUGUUGAACCUCACCAGCAUUCUGAGACUUGAAUCAACAUGGGAGCAGAGAGUGGGGCCUUCAACUGCCUUACUGCAUGGACACUGUCAGAGGUGACUCAGUUUCCUGGUCCACACCUAAGCUUGAAGGGAGUACUUAUCUCUCAGAAGGCUUCCUCUGUGGGAAAGAACUCAGUCUGGAAGUCACACCGUCCUGAGGAGAAGAUUAAGGCACUGUAGCUACUGAGCACAAGAGGGAACAUGUCACCCAGGGGAAGUGGAAGUACGAGGAGACAUUCAACUGGCACACCGGCCCGAAGGCGACAAGGCAUUGGAUACCGUUCAGAUUACUUCUUGCAAGUGACAGAGCAAUCUCCCUACCUGGAUACCUGGAUACCUGGAUACCUGGAUACCUGGAUACCUGGAUA